rnacentral:rRNA from 1 species
GAUGAACGCUAGCGGCAGGCCUAAUACAUGCAAGUCGAACGAGAUUAAGAGGCUUGCUUCUUAUGAAAGUGGCGCACGGGUGCGUAACGCGUAUGCAACCCACCUUAAUCAGGGGGAUAGCCCGAAGAAAUUCGGAUUAAGACCGCAUAAAAACACAGGAUAGCAUUAUCCAAUGUUCAAAUAUUUAUAGGAUUAAGAUGGGCAUGCGUGUCAUUAGCUAGUUGGCGGGGUAACGGCCCACCAAGGCGACGAUGACUAGGGGAUCUGAGAGGAUGACCCCCCACACUGGUACUGAGACACGGACCAGACUCCUACGGGAGGCAGCAGUAAGGAAUAUUGGUCAAUGGAGGGAACUCUGAACCAGCCAUGCCGCGUGCAGGAAGACAGCCCUCUGGGUCGUAAACUGCUUUUAUUCGGGAAUAAACCUUUCUACGUGUAGGAAGCUGAAUGUACCGAAGGAAUAAGGAUCGGCUAACUCCGUG